GACGAACGCUGGCGGCGUGCUUAACACAUGCAAGUCGAACGGUAAGGCCCUUCGAGGUACACGAGUGGCGAACGGGUGAGUAACACGUGGGUGAUCUGCCCUGCACUUCGGGAUAAGCCUGGGAAACUGGGUCUAAUACCGGAUAGGACCCUGGGAUGCAUGUCCUGGGGUGGAAAGCUUUUGCGGUGUGGGAUGGGCCCGCGGCCUAUCAGCUUGUUGGUGGGGUGAUGGCCUACCAAGGCGACGACGGGUAGCCGGCCUGAGAGGGUGACCGGCCACACUGGGACUGAGAUACGACCCAGACUCCUACGGGAGGCAGCAGUGGGGAAUAUUGCACAAUGGGCGCAAGCCUGAUGCAGCGACGCCGCGUGAGGGAUGACGGCCUUCGGGUUGUAACCUCUUUCAGCACCGACGAAGCGCAAGUGACGGUAGGUGCAGAAGAAGGACCGGCCAACUACGUGCCAGCCGCCGCCGUAA
rnacentral:rRNA from 1 species